UACGAAGGGGGCUAGCGUUGUUCGGAUUUACUGGGCGUAAAGCGCACGUAGGCGGAUUGGUCAGUUAGGGGUGAAAUCCUGGAGCUCAACUCCAGAACUGCCUUUAAUACUGCCAGUCUCGAGUCCGGAAGAGGUAAGUGGAACUCCUAGUGUAGAGGUGGAAUUCGUAGAUAUUAGGAAGAACACCAGUGGCGAAGGCGGCUUACUGGUCCGGUACUGACGCUGAGGUGCGAAAGCGUGGGGGCAAACAGG
rnacentral:rRNA from 1 species